CCUACACCGGAGUGGCACAGCGAUCUCAGUGCUAGAGGCGUCACUACAGACCCUGGUUUGAUUCCAGGCUGUAUCACAACAAAGUCCCAUAGGGCAGCGCACAAUAGGCCCAGCGUGGUCUGGGUUAGGCAGGGUAGGCCGUCAAUAAGAAUGUGUUCUUAACUGACUUAAAUAUAAUAUCAAAUUAAAUAAAAAACCAUUAACAAAGUCGCAAAGAAAACAGGAGCUGCCUCCACCAUUUCAACGUCAUCAAAUCACCUCUUCUUAUUCUAAUAUAGUGACAACUGAAAGAUACCAAAAACUAUUUACUCCAAUCAAGUAUGCACUGCACUGGUGCUACUGUUUCUUGGCAGGGAAACGUUAACAGGAAGUUCAAACUAGAAGAAGUAUGUCUCAACUCGCGGCCAAAGAAAACAACUGGAACGGAGGGAUCUACUGAGACAUUCUGCAUGCCCCCUGGAGGUUGUGACCCUGUACCCUCCCGUCUAGGAUCUCCCCCAGUCUCCCUGCCCAGAAGAUGCUGGGCCUCCAGGUGUGGGAUUCUCUCCGGUGGCAGCUUGGCCUGCUUAUAGGAAGCCGUCUGUAGGGCAGCAGGACAAGGCGGGCACUCCCACGCUUUAUAGCUCCCUCUCAGACUUUCCUUACAAAUCUGGUUGUCCCAAGUGACCUCCCCCUACACCCCACAAAGUAACCAAUCAGCAGCAGAGUGACCCCUAGGAGCCCAACUAUCAGCAGCAGCAAAGGGAGACUGGGAGGGCCCUGUCCAGAGGCUGGGACUGGGAGAUGAGGACCAGUGGCGUGGUGCUCACUGCAGUGCUCGUGGUUGUCCUCGCCCAGUGAUGCCACAAAUUCCUUGACGUCUUGUGCUGUGGUGAAUGACAGACACUCUCCCGUGUGUGGCCCGGAGCAUUGCUGGAUAGGUGAGGAGUGACUGGAUGCCUCUCAGUCUGAGUUUGUUCCGGACCUCGUUGAAGACUUUGCAGUGUGUGUGUGCUGUAGAAAAACCACAGAACAUUACCAUCAUGGUGAAUGAACUCUGCUGCUCCGGCUCCUUGUAGAAUGGCUUGGCGGUCGUUGUAUCGGGGACCUUGAAGAUCAGCGUCCUCGGGUCUGUCUGAAGCAUUACUAGUUCCGGGUCCCGAGUAGAUGCGAUGGGCUCUUUCUAUUUCAAUUUUGUGAGAUAUUGAUGGGAUCCAUUUAGGGAUCUGUAGGAAUUCAAUGGGAUCGUCAGUCUCGUCUCCUUCUUUUGAAUAAAUGAAUCUUACAUUUGAGCGACGUGAGUGGUCCUCCAUUUCUGCCAUCUUGAGCUGCAUCUUCUCCAGUUGUGAAGAACAGUCGUUGAUUUUCCGUUUGCUUUCCCUAUUUUCACCUUGCAGAUUGUCCACUUUAGUAGACAGAUUGUCAAUCACUUUCAUCCUUCUCUCAAUGUCGAUUGUAAUAGCUUCAACAGCCACGAAAGUCUCUUGAUGUUUUCUUUUGAGUGGUUCCACCGCCUCA